UACUCCUACGGGAGGCAGCAGUGGGGAAUAUUGCGCAAUGGGGGGAACCCUGACGCAGCCAUGCCGCGUGAAUGAAGAAGGCCUUCGGGUUGUAAAGUUCUUUCGGUAUUGAGGAAGGUUGAUGUGUUAAUAGCACAUCAAAUUGACGUUAAAUACAGAAGAAGCACCGGCUAACUCCGUGCCAGCAGCCGCGGUAAUACGGAGGGUGCGAGCGUUAAUCGGAAUAACUGGGCGUAAAGGGCACGCAGGCGGUUAUUUAAGUGAGGUGUGAAAGCCCUGGGCUUAACCUAGGAAUUGCAUUUCAGACUGGGUAACUAGAGUACUUUAGGGAGGGGUAGAAUUCCACGUGUGGCGGUGAAAUGCGUAGAGAUGUGGAGGAAUACCGAAGGCGAAGGCAGCCCCUUGGGAAUGUACUGACGCUCAUGUGCGAAAGCGUGGGGAGCAAACAGGAUUAGAUACCCUGGUAGUCCACGCUGUAAACGCUGUCGAUUUGGGGGUUGGGGUUUAACUCUGGCGCCCGUAGCUAACGUGAUAAAUCGACCGCCUGGGGAGUACGGCCGCAAGGUUAAAACUCAAAUGAAUUGACGG
rnacentral:rRNA from 1 species